UCGUAACAAGGUCUCCGUUGGUGAACCAGCGGAGGGAUCAUUAUCGAGUUAUUCAACUCCCAAACCCUAUGUGAACUUACCACUUGUUGCUUCGGCGCGCGCUUCGGCGCCGCCGAGGACACUUAAACUCUUUGUUUUUAUAAGCAUUUCUGAGUGGCCGAAAGGCAAAAAUACAAAUGAAUCAAAACUUUCAACAACGGAUCUCUUGGUUCUGGCAUCGAUGAAGAACGCAGCGAAAUGCGAUAAGUAAUGUGAAUUGCAGAAUUCAGUGAAUCAUCGAAUCUUUGAACGCACAUUGCGCCCGCCAGCAUUCUGGCGGGCAUGCCUGUUCGAGCGUCAUUUCAACCCUCGAGCCCGACUCUUUUGAGGACGGCUCGGCGUUGGGGGACGGCAGACUCCCCUCGGCAUCUCGCCGGGGACGCCGCCCCCGAAAUCUAGUGGCGGCCCUCCGAGGCGACCUCUGCGUAGUAACUUGUUCUCGCACCGGAAAGCUCAGAGCGGCCACGCCGUAAAACCCCAACUUUUUUCAGGUUGACCUCGAAUCAGGUAGGACUACCCGCUGAACUUAAGCAUAUCAAUA
rnacentral:rRNA from 1 species